CCCUUAGCUCAGUUGGUUAGAGCAGCUGACUCAUAAUCAGCGGGUCGCAGGUUCGAGUCCUGCAGG
rnacentral:tRNA from 1 species